rnacentral:lncRNA from 1 species
AACAUCAGCUUUUUCUUUUUUCUUUUCUUUUUUUCUUUUAGGUCAUCUGCUUCCUUCGUUCUCUUAAGUAUCCAUGAAAGUUUCAGAUUUAAAGGAGCAGGGACUUUUGUGGCCUUGGAACUUUUUACUUGUAAAUGAAGAGCACCCU